GCGUGCUAGCCAAUCACUCUACCAACCUAGCUAAAUUCCCAGCCUGUUAUAAAAGAAAGAAAUGGGAGAUGGAGGGAAUUAAAAUGAGGGCAUGCAUGAACAUCGUCCCCCAAGCGCUGCCUCAGCAUCUCAGGUCCCCACCGGAGCUGCCUGCCCUUAAUCACGGAGGAGCUGGGAGCUGUCACCUUUAAGGGGAACCAGCCCUUCACACAGCACAGCUAAAGAUAAAAGGACCUCAUCACAGAUGUGUCGGCACCACGCUUGGGUGUCUCUGGCUGUCAGCUCUCCAGUGCCAAACAGAAGUGUCCCACUGCCACCCCUAAAGCCCUCAGAAUGAAGAACAAACUGCCCACCCAACAUCUGCUUCUAGGAGAGGUGUGUAGGCUGAGCUCUACUGGCAAGAGCUGUGUGACCCCAGGCAAGUCGCUUGGCCCCUCUGAGCCGGCUUUCUCAUCUGGAAAGCUGGCAUAUCACUCCAUCCUCUCUAAGACGCUACGAGGAACGAAAAUAUGUAUCUUCUGUGCCCGUCUCAGCAUUUCAAGGUACUUGGGACUCUGGACGUGGUGGCACAGAGGCAGUGUAUCUCUGAGUUCAAGGCCAGCCUGGUCUACAGAGUGAGUUCCAGGGCAGCCAGUGUCACAAGGGAGGCUUGCAAGCCACAGGAUCUCUGAAAGUGCAGUCAGUGCUCUUAACUGCUGAGCCAUCUCUCCAGCCCCUAUGUUGAUUUUUAGCGUGCAGGCUGAACAAAGCCGUCUCGCAGACUGGUAUACGCCAUAGCAGGGCUUGUGUGCUGGGUUGCAUGCUGGGAUACGGGGG
rnacentral:lncRNA from 1 species